ACAUGCGCGAAUCCCUGACUGCGCAAGCGGAAAGGGUGUAUUUAUUAGAUACAACCAGCCGGGCAACCGUUUUUGGUGAAUCAUAAUAACUGAGCGAACCGCAUGCUUCGGCGGCGGUGGUCUAUUAAGUUUCUGCCCUAUCAGCUUUCGAUGGUAGGGUAUUGGCCUACCAUGGCGUUAACGGGUAACGGAGAAUUAGGGUUCGAUUCCGGAGAGGGAGCUUGAGAGAUGGCUACCACAUCCAAGGAAGGCAGCAGGCGCGUAAAUUACCCAAUCCUGAUACAGGGAGGUAGUGACAAGAAAUAACAAUGCGGGGCCUUCGGGUUCUGCAAUUGGAAUGAGUACAAUUUAAAUCCCUUAACAAGGAUCAAUUGGAGGGCAAGUCUGGUGCCAGCAGCCGCGGUAAUUCCAGCUCCAAUAGCGUAUAUUAAAGUUGUUGCAGUUAAAAAGCCCGUAGUUGAACUUCUGGAAUAGCCUCGCGGGUUCCGCUUCGGUGUGAAUCUGCGACUGUUCCAUCCUCGCGCGGAAGCAUUGGCAUUAACUUGCCGAUGUGGACGCGCGUCCUUUACUGUGAAAAAAUUAGAGUGUUUAAAGCAGGCUUGCCGCUUGAAUACAUUAGCAUGGAAUAAUGAGAUAGGACUUCGGUGCUAUUUUGUUGGUUGCGUACCGAGGUAAUGAUUAAUAGGGACAGUUGGGGGUAUUCAUAUUUAAC
rnacentral:rRNA from 1 species